UUAUCACCCCGGAUAAUCUCUUUCCUUUGGCCUUCAUUUUUAUUUUAUCAAAAACAUUGAGAACCCUAGCCGUUUCUCUCAAAAAAAAAUCCUUCCAGCAACCAUGAUAUCAUCUCAAGCUUUGAAUCAUUCUAUUCAAUCUGUAUCCAUUUUCUUCGAUCUGUAGCAUAUUAAACGAUCGAGAUUCUUUUAUUCUCCUUCUCUUGCAUACAGCUUGUUUCACUCACAAUGUCGAUCUCGUUUCUGUAAUGUUCUAUUCUCUUUUUAUGGUUUUGUUAUGUAUUACAUUAGCACUAAGAAGAUGAAGACUUCGGAUAAUUUUACAUGUUAAGAACCCUAGCUGCUACUGAUUAGAUUGUUGGUCAGUUUUCAAAAAUUGUUAGGGUUUUUACUUCGAUUCUUCAGAUUCCGGUCACAAGGUUCAUUUCAAUUUGGAUUUUUAGGGUUUCUACUCCGAUUCUUCAAUUUUUAUUUUUUAGUGACAACAUCCGUCUCAAUUUUAGUUGUUAGGGUAUGUACUUCAAUUCUUCAAAUUGGGUAUCAGUCAGUUUCCGGAAAUUGGGAAGGUUUAAUGUUUUUGUUUGCAGGCUCGAUUCGAACGCAUGUGCUAGGUAGUUCGUCGGUUAUUAGUUGGGUGAUUACUGAGCUCGGUGGCCGAACUUCCUCUAUGCUUGUUCUGUCUUCUCCUCGGGCUCGGUUCAACUUCACUGGUCUUGGUGGCCCCUUCCUCAAAAUAGUGCAACAUCAAAGUGGUUUACAACAAGUAAGGGAUUGCACGCUGCUGUACUAAGUGGAAUAAUGGUUGGAAACCAAUAUAUUGUUGUUUCCUGGGAGGUCAAUGGCUUCAGGUAGCUGCUGAGACAAGUAUAACAUGCUGGUGUCCCACCAUCACUGAAUCCUCCUUGUUGGACAGGGUUUGUGCCUUAGGCAGUAUAUUUAUUAAUGCUUGAGAAGAAGUUUGUUCAUCCUCAACUACAUAAGUCUUCUCUAAAGAUAGCUGCAAUUCAAAUGCAUCCAGCAGAAAGCAAAGACGAAUCAAGAUUUCAACAACUUAAACUGAAGAUGCGUGACUCCCAGGUAUAUAUGCAUCUUGAAAAAAUGCACAUUGUUUCUGAUAAGUAAGUAGAGCCAUUCUGAGGUUUUUCUAGGAUUAAAUUCACUCCACCCCAAUCUUCUUGCAUAACUCAUUAAGUAGUUUACAUACAAUUUAAUUUGUAUUUGAUCUGUAGAUAUUAUGAUUUUAAUAUAUGCCACAUAUGCGAAUGUGUCAGGUAUUGGUUUCUGUGUAACUGAUUCACAUCAAGAAGUAUUUAAAUGUGACUUGGAAUCUUGUUAUAUAUAUAUUAGGAUCCCCAUACCUUCGUAUAUCUAUUGUUUUUUGAAGAUCGUUAGGAAAAGAGCAGCUGCAAGUGUUUUUGUUGAUUUUAGAAAGGGAGAUCCACAAAGCAAUGAUGAUUAUGACGAGUUGAAUGAUGGAACUAUGGCAAAUGCGAUAGAGAUGGAGUACUUGGACGUGUUUCAGUAGGUGGCCAAAAACUUAGAUAAAGUGAAUUCAGUAUUAAUGUUGUUUUAGAUGAAAUUUCGGGUUGUUAAUGUAGGAUGAAUUUAUCUGUUUUUGUAUAUUUGAGUUUGGGCUCUUAAUGUAAACUUGAAUUCAUAUUUCAGAUAAAGUCAAGUAUACUUACUUUUAAAUGAAUCCGCCUUUUUUUUU